rnacentral:rRNA from 1 species
UGGGGAAUAUUGCACAAUGGGCGCAAGCCUGAUGCAGCAAUGCCGCGUGAGUGAAGACGGCCUUAGGGUUGUAAAACUCUUUCGCUAGGGAAGAUAAUGACGGUACCUAGUAAAGAAGUCCCGGCUAACUCCGUGCCAGCAGCCGCGGUAAUACGGAGGGGGUUAGCGUUGUUCGGAAUUACUGGGCGUAAAGCGCACGUAGGCGGACCAGAAAGUUGGGGGUGAAAUCCCGGGGGCUCAACCCCGGAACUGCCUCCAAAACUAUUGGUCUAGAGUUCGAGAGAGGUGAGUGGAAUUCCAAGUGUAGAGGUGAAAUUCGUAGAUAUUUGGAGGAACACCAGUGGCGAAGGCGGCUCACUGGCUCGAUACUGACGCUGAGGUGCGAAAGUGUGGGGAGCAAACAGGAUUAGAUA